rnacentral:rRNA from 1 species
GUGUCAGCCGCCGCGGUAAGACGAGCCUCACGAACGUUAUUCGGAAUUACUGGGCUUAAAGGGUGCGUAGGCGGCGUGGAAAGUUGGGUGUGAAAUCCCUCGGCUUAACCGAGGAACUGCGCCCAAAACUGUCAUGCUCGAGGAAGAUAGAGGUGAGCGGAACUUACGGUGGAGCGGUGAAAUGCGUUGAUAUCGUAAGGAACACCCGUGGCGAAAGCGGCUCACUGGGUCUUUUCUGACGCUGAUGCACGAAAGCUAGGGGAGCAAACGGGAUUAGAUACCCUCGUAGUCC